rnacentral:lncRNA from 1 species
UCUGGGUGGAUAGAACCUGGAUCACCAAUUGGAUGUCGAGGCGUUGCUAUAAUACUGACCUUCUACGCACUCCCACAAGCCUCUGCGGCCGCUGUUAUUUGCUAUUCUUUGCUAGCACGAGUGUUCCACUCGCCUCUUUGCUGAUAUUCGCCAGCAAUUUGAUAACCUGCCACACUUGAAGGAUAAGAUAUGGAGAGCAGCGGCGAUGCUCCUCGGCUCAGAUCUGAGUGGCGGUGAUUUUCUUAAAAGGACGGGAAAGAGGGAAAAAACAGAUGGAGAACAAGGGAGAUAGGGUGGGGAAGACAAAAGAUGGAAAAAGAGAGAGGGAGAGGAAGAAACACAAGCGGCUUUGGGUUUGGGGCAGAAAGGCAGUGAGGACGGAAAAGAGGAACAGGGGAAGGAGGGCGGAAGAAAGGAUGAGAGAGAGAAAAAAAGAGUGUAGGGUUAAUUACCUGUAUUUUUCGGCGGCCGCCGGUGGUGGUGCGAGCACUGGCGGGUAGGUGGAUGGUGACCGUUAGUGGAAGAGCGAAGAGAGAGAAGAGAGC